AAUGAUAGAGGCGCGGGAUUCAUCAGUAUGCCGGGAAAUAUGACAUGACAGUCAUCCGGUGAAAGGGGAGACCGCCGAAGGAAUCAGGCCAGUCAGGAGGAGGAUUCCUGGGAUGACGCAGAAUAUGCGUCGUACUGUCACCCGGGUGAAGCGCUAUC
rnacentral:ncRNA from 1 species